rnacentral:rRNA from 1 species
UACAGAGGGUGCAAACGUUGUUCGGAAUUACUGGGCGUAAAGCGCGUGCAGGCGGCCUUGCAAGUCGGACGUGAAAUCCCACGGCUCAACCGUGGAAGUGCAUUCGAAACUGCGAGGCUGGAGUCCUGGAGAGGAAAGUGGAAUACUCGGUGUAGAGGUGAAAUGCGUAGAUAUCGGGAGGAACACCAGGUGGCGAAGGCGACUACCUGGCCUGUUCUUGACGCUGAGGCGCGAAAGCGUGGGGAGCAAGCAGG